ensembl:lncRNA
AUUUGAACCAGGAAGAAACCGAUGGGCUUUUAGUUUGUGAGAAUGUUGUGACUUUUUUUUUUCACCAUAACGACAAACACUAACCAAAGCAGUUAUUGUUGAUAUAAACUCGUGCAACACAGACAGCAGCCGGACAGUUUGUCGCCAUGUCGGAGCUCGAGGCGCAGCUUUGCGCCAUUUUGGAGAUAAUGGUCAACGCGACAGUGUCAGAAAUGAGCAAAGUUAUCGGCGGCUCUGAUUCAACUCGUCCACAAGUGUCGGAGUCAACGACGAAAAACACGCACGACUCUCCGGAUGGCAAGGUGGUUCAGUUCAGCGUCUUCCUGACAUCUCUGGCUCAGGAAACUGUGGAGAAGAUCUGCCAGCUCUUCCACGAAUGUUCCUCUCUGCUGCGACUUGAAGUGGCGCAGGGUGUGGCGGAGAUGGAGGACCUCAGGAGGAGGCUGGAGGUGGCGGAGACGGAGCUGAAGCUGGUGCUGGAGGGCAGUGGAGGUCAGAAGGAAGCGGAGGAGCUGACGGAGGGACAGGCGGAGGAGAGGAGAGCAGGAGGAGAGACGGGAGUUCAGAGCAGCCAGCGCUCAGGGAGGAAGAGUCGCAAAGGUGAGUGGAAGAUCUGCCCACAUCCAUUUAUGAAGAAUAUGCAUAUUUAGGAUGAAAGCAGCUUCUUGAUGUUUUCCUAGUUGUGAGUUCUGGUGAUGCCGGUGUGAAAAGAUCUCCCAUAAUUCAUCUGUGGAAAGGACGGACUUAUGAGGUAAAGUGUUGGCCUGUUCACUUUACACUUCCAAACUUUGGAAAUGUUGGAGACUUCACCAAGACAUCUGUUGUCUGAUUAUCAUCCUGUCUCUCAGGACAACAGCCAGCCUGUUAUAAUAAAGGAGGAAGGACUGGAGGGCUCAGAGGACCAAACGUCUUCUGCUGGACAGUACAGAAAUGACGUCGGCCUGGAUGAAGAUGACGACCCAGAUUACCAGGUUCAUAAAUGUCUCAUUAAGUUUUAUUGGUAAAUGUUUCUAUUUUUGUUAUUUUUUCCACCUCAAAAUUGUACACAGACAAUAAGCCUUUGUCAUGGCUUUAGUCUUGGUCGAGUAAUCGAUAGGUAUAUUGUUUUCAUCAGGUGGAAUCGGGCGACCCACACGAGAGGGACCCGGGAUACACCACCAGAUCCAAGCGAAGUGUGAAACCCUCCAAACCCA